UGGGGAAUAUUGCACAAUGGGGGAAACCCUGAUGCAGCGACGCCGCGUGAACGAAGAAGGUAUUCGUAUCGUAAAGUUCUGUCCUAUGGGAAGAUAAUGACAGUACCAUAGAAGAAAGCUCCGGCUAAAUACGUGCCAGCAGCCGCGGUAAUACGUAUGGAGCGAGCGUUGUCCGGAAUUAUUGGGCGUAAAGGGUACGCAGGCGGUUUAAUAAGUCGAAUGUUAAAGAUCGGGGCUCAACCCCGCAAAGCAUUGGAAACUGAUAAACUUGAGUAGUGGAGAGGAAAGUGGAAUUCCUAGUGUAAUGGUGAAAUACGUGGAUAUUAGGAGGAAUACCAGUAGCGAAGGAGACUUUCUGGACACAAACUGACGCUGAGGUACGAAAGCGUGGGGAGCAAACAGG
rnacentral:rRNA from 1 species